CGCCGGAACAGUUCGCAUGCGGCGUCUGUCCGCCCUGUCCUCCGCUGCGCUCCCGACGUCCCGUCGGAGCCGGUGCCCGAGACCGCCCCGUCGCGUCGGCGUGCUCCCGGAGCUCGAUGCCCGGCCCCUUUCCCGCUGAGAUAAGAGCCGCGCCCCUUUCCUCUCCUCUUCCUCCUCUUCCCCCGUUUCUUCUCCCUCCUGUUUCUCUCAUCGUGUUCUUCUUCCCUGCCACCCACUCCGGCGGCAGCUCGACCUCCUCCGGCUCCGCGCGGGUGAGCUCCGCCGCCUCCACGACCGCGCGAGCACGAGCUUCGCUGUCCCCGUCACGCGAGCGAGAUCCAUGGCGACCCCCCUACGCUUCCUCCCCAGCUUCGACGCCUCCGCGUCCGCGUCGACCGGCCAAGGUUCAGCUCGACCUCCUCGGUCUCCACCUAUGCUCCGCGGCUGCCGCCCGCUCCGCGGGAUCCAGAUCCGGCCUCCCCCUCCACCUCCUCGUCCCCGCUCACCCCGUCCUCACUCUACUCCGCCAUCCACCCCCGCGCGCCCGCUCCGUCGGUGCAUCUCCUUGGCCAGACCACACAGCAUCGGCAGCGCCAUCCCCUCCUCCACGGCAGUCCCGCUGGGCACGGCGCAGCUCGCCAAGUCCACCUCCAUCAUCAGGCGGGCUCCCGCUGAACAAGUCUGACCUCAACCACCGUCGAUCUGGCUUAGCCUCCAGAAGCCCGUGGUGCGCGCGCCGCAAGCUCCAGCAAGCAGAUCUGGUGUGGUGGUGACGACUGCCGUGAGGAGGUCUACACCAUGUUCGUCUGCUUGGACUGCAGUAAAGCAUGCACUUUAUUAAUUAAAUCAUCUUAAAUUCUGGUGUGAUUUUCCCAUCUGGAUGGUAAACUUUGAUUUUCAGCUAAGUGUUUGUUCUUUUUCCGGUGCGAAGUAAUGGAACAGAUUAAUUGAUAUGCUUCUUCUUUCUCUUGAAGAAUCUGAUUAAAGUAAUAAAAUUGAACAUGCCCCUCCUUUCUCUGAUGAGCCUUUCCUUUACUUUCUCCAUGCUUAUGUGAAGAUUUCAAUUUUCUGUUAAAACUGUGCCGCAGGUUGCAAGACUUAAAUGCUAGAAGCCCGAAACAAGGGUUCCAUUGGUUACUCCAUUAAAUUUGAAGAUACUCCAUGUUUUCUAAAUUCCAAAAAAAGAUUAGUCUUCGACUGCCCAUCUGAGCAUUGUAUGGGAUUGUUCUUUCUUUCUUGUAUACCAAAAAAAAACAAAAAAAACAAAGUGCAGCAGUCUGAACCUUUUCUGAUCAGAGAGCAUUACUCUGAUAAAAUAAAAUACAUCAAAUAUUGAUGCAUCAUAUUCAUUGGCAAUCAUGCAUGUUCUGAAGCCAGCAAACUCGUGAAGGAUUGUGUGUGGCCGCACAAAACAAAGAAUCCUUGCCAUUAAUCAAGAUAUGUAACUACCUGAAGCUCAUCAGAAGGCACUUUGUUUUUAUGAUAGAAGGAAAACAGAGACGGAGAAGAAGGGAAAAUGAACUACUGUGCUUAGCUAAGGUGGUUAUAUAUAUGGACAGAGCUCAUAGCUUCAGCUUACCUAAGUAGAUUGACCAUGACCACAAAUCCUAACUUUAAUCCUAAGAGCUACACAAUCUAAAAACGAGGUAUAGUUUUCUGGACUAUAUUUUGUUACAUACAUAUACACAGCCUGUGCUUUGGCUUUGUGUAUUUGAUCAGGUUUACUCAAUCAAUGUUCCUACCACGUAUCGCCUCUACUAUUAUUGUCUCGACCUUGGUUCUAUCUCAAUGGACAAAAUAAAAUUGGUGUUAAUCAAAUACAUGCUAUAUCAACCACUGCUACACUAGAUACAUAAUGCAAGCAUAAUGGAUGUAUUUGAAAAUUUGUAGCUAAGCUGAUCAACAUUUCUCAAGAGUUGAAAAGCUUCAGUUGCCUGAUCAACAUUUCCCAAGUUGACAGUGCUCCCUCGAUGAAGGGCGUGUGGUUUUCUAUGUGCUUUUGCAGGAUUACAUCCCCACUGUCUUCAGUGCCAAUGUCUCGGUGGAUGGGAGCACUGUCAACUCGGGCCUCUGGGACACGGCAGGUGAGCGUGAUCAGAUUACAAGAGAUUGAGGCAGAGGAUCACAUCAGAUUGAGGCCUCUUUGCUACAGGGGUGUGGAUGUGUUCAUCCUCUCCUCUCUGGUCAGCAGGAAAAGCUAUGAGAAUGUCUUGAAGAAGGUAAUGAAUAAUUCCAGACGAGGAUUUUAUCUGAAUGUAAUUAGACAUUCGGCGAAUAGCACAAUUCAGGGUGCUUGAUUCACUCAAAUGCUUCAACCUUGUGCUUUGGGGAUGAUGUACAACAUUCCUCUAUUAUUUCUUCAGUUCAGUGUCCAAUCCAACAUGGGGUUAUCUACAGGCACAACAUUUCCAUCUACAGUACACCAUGUAUUGUUUCUCGCUGCAGAUACUUGCCUGCAGGGUGUGCCAUCAUGAGCACAGCAAGCAGGUUGAGUUAGAUGAACCAUACAAAUGAUCGAGUGGAGAUUGGAUCGUCCCAAUUUUAGCCAGAUACCUUUUAUGAGGCGACAUGCUAACUAGAUAUUUAAUUGAACUCGAGAUGUAGACUACUUUAGCCCACAUGUCAUUUUUUUCUUCAUCAAAACAUAUCUCUACCUAAUUCUUCCUAAUUUUCUUUUCCAGUCUGGUGUCAGUUAGUAUGGGUUACUCACUUGAGAAUCGACCCUGCCUGCUCCGUGCUUGAUUUUGACCGUUGAUGGAAGAUCCGACAGUGGAUAAAUAGCAGUGACGUUGCCCAAUCUCGUGCUCGAGCCGAUGGUGCUGAUUUCGUUCGUUAGAGAUUACUUCAACCAGGGCGUGGGUGCGGCGUCGAAGAAGAGGUUGCGCUAGGCGUGGGCCUUGCAUAUGUAAUUAACCAAUUACUCUAUCCAAUAUUCAAACUCAAGCUGCCAUUUUUGCUGUGAUUUACAUUCUGUCUACAAACUCUACCUAUUGAUGCUUCAUGCAUCACAUGUGCCUGAUUGGCUGCCAUGUUCAA